rnacentral:rRNA from 1 species
UACGUAGGGGGCUAGCGUUAUCCGGAAUUACUGGGCGUAAAGGGUGCGUAGGUGGUUUCUUAAGUCAGAGGUGAAAGGCUACGGCUCAACCGUAGUAAGCCUUUGAAACUGGGGAACUUGAGUGCAGGAGAGGAGAGUGGAAUUCCUAGUGUAGCGGUGAAAUGCGUAGAUAUUGGGAGGAACACCAGUUGCGAAGGCGGCUCUCUGGACUGUAACUAACACUGAGGCACGAAAGCGUGGGGAGCAAACAGG